rnacentral:sRNA from 1 species
CCUCUUCGAUCUGCUGCGGGCAGAUGAAAUGGAUAUGCGCGUCCAUGCCGCCGGCCGUCAGGAUCCGGCCCUCGCCGGCGAUCGCCUCGGUCGACGGACCGACAAUGAUCGUCACGCCCGGCUGGGUAUCCGGAUUACCGGCCUUGCCGAUUGCGUGGAUGCGGCCAUCCUUCAACCCGACAUCGGCCUUGUAGAUACCCGAGUGAUCGACGAUCAGCGCAUUGGUGAUCACCGUGUCGACGGCACCUUCUGCGCGUGUCGCCUGGCUCUGGCCCAUGCCAUCGCGG